rnacentral:rRNA from 1 species
UCCUACGGGGAGCAGCAGUAAGGAAUAUUGGGCAAUGGACGCAAGUCUGACCCAGCCAUGCCGCGUGCAGGAUGACAGCCUUAUGGGUUGUAAACUGCUUUUAUCAGGGAAUAACCCCCCGUWCGUGUACGGGGCUGAAUGUACCUGAAGAAUAAGCAUCGGCUAACUCCGUGCCAGCAGCCGCGGUAAUACGGAGGAUGCAAGCGUUAUCCGGAUUUAUUGGGUUUAAAGGGUGCGCAGGCGGAUAAGUAAGUCAGUGGUGAAAUCUCUCGGCUCAACCGAGAAACUGCCAUUGAUACUGUUUAUCUUGAGUGUAAAUGAAGUGGGCGGAAUGUAGCAUGUAGCGGUGAAAUGCAUAGAUAUGMUACAGAACACCAAUUGCGAAGGCAGCUCACUAAAUUACAACUGACGCUCAUGCACGAAAGCGUGGGGAUCAAACAGGAUUAGAUACCCUGGUAGUCCACGCUGUAAACGAUGAUU